GUGCGUCGUAACUAGUGCUUGAAACAUGAAAAGUACGGUUUUCGACGCAUGUAGCAUGUAAAAUACAUUUAGUUCACAAAAAGAUCUCUUCUAAAUUGGUUACUGCCUUUGUGAUCAAGUCAGAUGUGAGCUAUACUGUCCUUUCAGAAUUUUCAUUGACGCUACCUAGUGCUUCUUUAACUGCUUGGACACGCAAAGUAUGUGGUGCCACCACAAGGAAAUAAUUAGAACUAACCAUUUGUCUGUCAAUGGUGCCAAUCGACAAAAUCAAAAAUGAAUCUGAAUUCGUUGGUUCAAUUGAAUGUAGGAAGUAUGUAGGAUGUAAAAGUAAUGCAUCCUACAACCGUAGUCAUACUAUGAUUGGGCACCUGUAGUAAAAAAUUGAGCAACUUUAGCG